CGGGAAUCUUCCGCAAUGGACGCAAGUCUGACGGAGCAACGCCGCGUGAACGAUGAAGGCCUUCGGGUCGUAAAGUUCUGUUGUUAGGGAAGAACAAGUACCAUUCGAAUAGGGUGGUACCUUGACGGUACCUAACCAGAAAGCCACGGCUAACUACGUGCCAGCAGCCGCGGUAAUACGUAGGUGGCAAGCGUUGUCCGGAAUUAUUGGGCGUAAAGCGCGCGCAGGCGGUCUUUUAAGUCCGAUGUGAAAGCCCCCGGCUCAACCGGGGAGGAUCAUUGGAAACUGGGAGACUUGAGUGCAGAAGAGGAGAGUGGAAUUCCAUGUGUAGCGGUGAAAUGCGUAGAGAUAUGGAGGAACACCAGUGGCGAAGGCGACUCUCUGGUCUGUAACUGACGCUGAGGCGCGAAAGCGUGGGGAGCAAAC
rnacentral:rRNA from 1 species